UGGGGUAAAGCGAAUGAUUAGAGGUAUUGGGAUUGAAACGAUCUUGACCUAUUCUCAAACUUUGAAUAUGUAAAAUGUCCUUGUUACUUAAGUGAACGUGGACUCUUGAAUGAAGAGCUUUUAGUGGGCCAUUUUUGGUAAGCAGAACUGGCGAUGCGGGAUGAACCGAACGCGGAGUUAAGGUGCCGGAGUAUACGCUCAUCAGACACCACAAAAGGUGUUAGUUCAUCUAGACAGCCGGACGGUGGCCAUGGAAGUCGGAAUCCGCUAAGGAAUGUGUAACAACUCACCGGCCGAAUGAACUAGCCCUGAAAAUGGAUGGCGCUCAAGCGUAUCACCUAUACUCCGCCCAC
rnacentral:ncRNA from 1 species